CCCCGCACUCCGCGGCUUUUUUUCCGGUGGCUUUGUUGAAAUCAGCAUGCAGCAUACAUUCGUUAAAUUGAUCAAGCCGGUGGCGUCCAUAUUCGUACAUCAAGUUAAGCAACUUCACAUAGCAGGAUCAAUCGGAACAAAAAAGUGGAGGAUGUUUCUUUAAGAGGCACUGCAAACCCGUGCAGACUGCAGGAUGCAACACCUCUGACGACGGCAGCACACCAAAAUGUAAAAGAAUAAAAUGGAAAGAUAACAUGUACCUGAUGCGGCCAGACAUGAGCCAACAAUGUACAUCCACACCACUAGCUUCCAAAGGCCCCCUCAAUGGAAAAACGAGAACAUGUACGUAUAGCCCAGGGUCGGGAAAAAAGGAAAGAACUUCAGAGUUUAACAUGAAGCACUCACCUUUUCCUUGGGACCAUUUCAAAGAUAAAUGGUGUUAAUCCUGAUGCCCUGGCUGUUGGCUCCAAUUUUGCUUCUCUGAGUCUGGCCUGCCUGAUUGUCCCCCAGCAGUUUAAUUGCCCUUACAGUUAAUUUCUUGACCUCAGCGGUGGCACGUCAGGUGAUCCAGCUCCACAGUGCAUGGCAUCACAACAGGGGAUUAGGUUACUUCCUAUCGUAACUGCACUGAGGGCUCUGGAAUGCUGUGGGAGGUACGGUGGGGUGGAAAUCGAUCGCCCUGCCAUUGCAGAGUAUUGUAAAUCCUUGAUUUGUAGCGCUGCCACAUUGUGGAGACAGGAGUGGAAAGCCCAGGAAACUAAAGGUGGGCUGAGGAUCGUCAGGAGGACAUCUGUGAAGAAUCAAGACAGGGACACGGCAGUUUCAGAGAUCAUUUGUCUUUGAGCUGAGCCUCGCAGCGAAAAACACCUGGCGCAGAUGUGUGUCGACAGCUGAAGGUGGUGUAAAAUGUGCUGAGGUUUGUUUUGCCUGGACUUCAGACCUCACUGGGCCUUGCGGUUCAGGGCUUUCCACAGCUGAGCAAGGAGGUGCACCUUGCUGUGAGGUGAGAGAAUAAUAGAGGCUUCUGAUCCUCCUACAUCUGUUUUUCUUGAACUAGCAAGGAGGGGCUCGUGGGAGCUGGAACAUGGGAGCUACAGCACAAGGAAAAUGUGGGAACCUGAAUGAACACACCAAAACAACAAAUACGGUGCUUUUGUGCUAGAAAUGAUGUUUUACAAAUGCAAUGAAAACUCCAUAGAGUUCACAUGCUCAUCAGUUGCAUUUUCUGUAAAUCUCUCUGCUUGAACUGCCUAUUUUACGAGCUGAUUUAACUACCUCUGACUGUAACCUGCCAAACCCAUUUAUUAUUGUUUGUUAUUUUAUUGUAUUGUUAGAUCCCUCAUUACAUUUCUAUUACAGUUAAUUCUUUCAUAACUAAUACACUAGGCCAGGCAGUGGAGGACGGCCUCCCCGGGUUCCUCUUUAUUCUUCCCAUUGGGGAGUUUUAUUUUCUUGCCACCGUUUGGGUGUUUUUCUUCCCACUGGGUAGUUUAUUUUACCUCAAGCACUCACUUUUUUGGGGGUUCACGCCUGACUUUUCCCCAGUUUUCUGUAAUGUGUCACUGACAUCAUCCCGGAAAAAAAACACUAUGCAAAUAAAGUUGAAUUGAAUAUCCUCAUGUGCAUUGUGUAUCAGCAGUAAAAGUAGGAAGAACGCACACUCUAAAAAGGUGCUGAUUAAAGGUCCAUUAGUCAUAGCAAAAAAGUCAAAAUCACACAC